UACAGAGGGUGCGAGCGUUAAUCGGAAUUACUGGGCGUAAAGCGCGCGUAGGCGGUUUGUCGCGUCUGCUGUGAAAACCUAAGGCUCAACCUUGGGCUUGCAGUGGGUACGGGCAGACUAGAGUGCGGUAGGGGUGACUGGAAUUCCUGGUGUAGCGGUGGAAUGCGCAGAGAUCGGGAGGAACACCCGUAGCGAAGGCGGCACUCUGGGCCGGUACUGACGCUCAGGAGCGAAAGCGUGGGGAGCAAACAGGG
rnacentral:rRNA from 1 species